rnacentral:rRNA from 1 species
GACGAACGCUGGCGGCGUGCCUAAUACAUGCAAGUAGAACGCACAGUUUAUACCGUAGCUUGCUACACCAUAGACUGUGAGUUGCGAACGGGUGAGUAACGCGUAGGUAACCUGCCUGGUAGCGGGGGAUAACUAUUGGAAACGAUAGCUAAUACCGCAUAAUAUUAAUUAUUGCAUGAUAAUUGAUUGAAAGAUGCAACUGCAUCACUACCAGAUGGACCUGCGUUGUAUUAGCUAGUAGGUGAGGUAACGGCUCACCUAGGCGACGAUACAUAGCCGACCUGAGAGGGUGAUCGGCCACACUGGGACUGAGACACGGCCCAGACUCCUACGGGAGGCAGCAGUAGGGAAUCUUCGGCAAUGGACGAAAGUCUGACCGAGCAACGCCGCGCGAGUGAAGAAGGUUUUCGGAUCGUAAAGCUCUGUUGUAAGAGAAGAACGGGUGUGAGAGUGGAAAGUUCACACUGUGACGGUAUCUUACCAGAAAGGGACGGCUAACUACGUG